AGUAGUAGUAUGUAAUCAGAUCAAUGCAGAAAGCCGUACUAUAAAUUAUUUGGUGGAGUAACUUCGAUGCCGACGGAGAUGUAUUUAAAAGUCAACGGAUAUUCCAACGAGUACUGGAACUGGGGUGCAGAAGACGACGAUAUGUUUAUACGAAUACAUGCGUCCAGGCUUGCCAUAUGGAGGUAUAACAUGAGCAUCGCUCGCUUCACCUGCCUGCCCCACCCGCGUGGUAUCCUUAAUGAUGACAGGCGAAUAAAGUUAGCAACGGCAAAGAAACGUUUUAAGUACGAAGGCCUGAAUAGCUUGGAGUACAGGUUAAUAGCAAUUAUCCAGAGAAAAUUAUUCACGCACAUCCUGGCCGAUGUAAACCCUUUCAAUUAUACUGUUUGAGUAAUAAGCCGAUGGGAAUAACAACGUUUUAUUUUAAUGACACAGGUAAGGAAUAGAUAAAAAUAAAAUAAAUACUUAGUACUUGACUUGCCAAA